GCAUUUCCCAAAGAUAGGCAGUGGGGAGUGUCUUUUCCCUGAGUGAGAAAGUACUGUUUGGUCCUUGAGUGUGGAGACUGUGGCUUUGAGCCUUGAUCUUCUGGAAACCACGUUUAGGUGACAUGGGGUAUGAGGUCCCUUAGGCUCCUCACUGCUGAGUUCUGCCUCCCCACACUGCCAUGGUAACAGACUCAUCCGGAGCAACCCACACCUCCACCGCCUUGCCCAGGUGGCCGCUGAGGCUGCUCUGCUCCAGUCACGCUUAGCUGGGAAGCUAAGGG